CUGAUUAGUUAAUGAGCUUGAAAAAGCAAUUGUUUUGAAAACAAUAGAUAGGGCUUAAUACCUCUAUUAACUUUACUAUAUUUAAUUA
rnacentral:tRNA from 1 species